rnacentral:rRNA from 1 species
AUGACCCGUGUUGAAACUCGUUCGCUCGACGGCUUGGUUGCCUUUGUCCACUAUACUUACUCAAUCUCGGCGCAAGAAGCAGUGGUACUGCUCUGCCAACAUCGCUUCAAUCUCUCAUACAUGUUGCAGGGCCCAAAGAAGAUAUUCUUCAACUUAGCUUUUGCGGCAGUGGUUGCCAAACACCCACAGCCUGCUGCCUUUGGGGAUUUCCUCAAUUCACUGACCCCAGCUAAACUUGUUUGCUUGCGCUCCAUUAUAUCUGACAUAGGUCUGGGCAAUGUUCUCUCUGAUGAUACUUUGGUGCGGCUAAAAAAGAUGGUGACCAACGGAACAACAUGCGUUGCGGCAGCAGCAGUGCAAAGUAUGGCUCCUGAUCUGGGCCAAUCUGCCUUGGAGACACACUGUCCGCUAGGAGGGAGACCUUCAAGUCUCAGUAGGAUUAUGUUCGCACAAAGUUGGAAAGCUUACUACUCGACUAUGGCCGCGAUAAGGGACACUUAUACAGUCUUGGUAUUGUUUGUGGAGUGA